rnacentral:rRNA from 1 species
UACGAAGGGGGCUAGCGUUGUUCGGAAUUACUGGGCGUAAAGCGUAUGCAGGCGGACUUUUAAGUCGGGGGUGAAAUCCCGAGGCUCAACCUCGGAACUGCCUUCGAUACUGGAAGUCUUGAGUCCGGGAGAGGUGAGUGGAACUCCGAGUGUAGAGGUGAAAUUCGUAGAUAUUCGGAAGAACACCAGUGGCGAAGGCGGCUCACUGGCCCGGUACUGACGCUGAGAUACGAAAGCGUGGGGAGCAAAC